AAUUGACGGGACCCGCACAAGCGGUGGAUGAUGUGGAUUAAUCGAUGCAACGCGAAGAACCUUACCUACCCUUGACAUGUCCGGAACUUGCCAGAGAUGGCUUGGUGCCGAAAGGGAAUCGGAACACAGGUGCUGCAUGGCUGUCGUCAGCUCGUGUCGUGAGAUGUUGGGUUAAGUCCCGCAACGAGCGCAACCCUUAUCAUUAGUUGCUACGCAAGGGCACUCUAAUGAGACUGCCGGUGACAAACCGGAGGAAGGUGGGGAUGACGUCAAGUCCUCAUGGCCCUUAUGGGUAGGGCUUCACACGUCAUACAAUGGUCGGUACAGAGGGUUGCCAAGCCGCGAGGCGGAGCCAAUCCCACAAAGCCGAUCGUAGUCCGGAUUGUUCUCUGCAACUCGAGAGCAUGAAGUCGGAAUCGCUAGUAAUCGCAGGUCAGCAUACUGCGGUGAAUACGUUCCCGGGGCUU
rnacentral:rRNA from 1 species